rnacentral:lncRNA from 1 species
UGUGUAUUAGACUAUUUACUUUUGAUAGUAUGUCAAUAGUCAUCAUUUAGUCCUAAGUCAAUUAUUGUGAUCACAUUGGGUAUUAUAUUGAGGCUACUACAAGCUACUCUUAAAAAAUCAAUUGAAAGGUGUGAAGAUAUUACAAUAGUAGAAUUCAACAAAAAAAUUAUAGCAUGAGAGAUAUGGCAGAGCAAUCCUAGAUGGAGGC